CGCUUAACCGACUGCGCCACCCAGGCGCCCCAGUUUGCCAUCUUAAUACGCACCCCAUAACUGAUUUUGUCUGCUUUAAAACCUUUAAUAUUCUUUGAAGACGUGGUCUAGGUCUGAAAAUCCGAUUCUGAACAUGGUAAGAGAACACGGAAAAAAACAGUAAGAACUCCAGAAAAGUGGGAAAUAGUUUGCUGAUUCCAUGGCCAGAAGAGUAAAGAGCGUUUAGACAGUGUUUUGUCGAACAAUGUUUGCCCGCUUGCUUACUUAUUGCCUAUCUUCUCCCAGAUGAGGCUGGGGCUUCUCCUGUCUUGUUCAAUAAGGUGCAGAUCCCCAACACCUAGGAUAAGAUAAAAUUUGGUGCAGAGGAGGCCCUCGUAAAUAAUUGCUAAAGAAAUUGCUAUUUCUAUCUGUCGCUAUGUGAUUUUCUGCUUUGAAACUUAGUGGCCUAAAACAAUGGCGAUUUGUUAUUUCUUACCAUCCGGUGGGUGGACUGGGCCUUCUGGGCUCCCCUGGCGGCCGGUAUGGGGAUGCCUCACCCACACAUCUAGGCCUUAGCUGGGGCAGCUGGGCCUCUCUACAUGGUUUCUCACCCAGGGCUUCUGUUCCCGAUGCAGAAGCUCCCCAAAGGGCAAAGGUAGAAGCAUCGAGGCCUUGAGAUCCAGGAUCUGGAACCCCACAAGUCACUUCCACCAUGUUCUUCUGGUUAAAGCAAGUCAUGAGGCCCGCCUGGAAUUCAAGGUGUGAAGAAAGAGACUCCACCCCUUGAUGGGAAAGCCUGCAAAACAGUAUGAUCCUGCCUUUCUUUCUGCCACAUUGUUCCAAAGUUUGUAAACAGAGGAAGAAUAAUCGGAAUUGUCCACCGUUGGCCAGCUUAGUGCCUGGCACCUGCUCAUGCCCCCCACCAUCAAAACAACAACAACACCAACCAGAAGAUUCUGACAUCCAAUUUCAAAAUAAAUCGGACAGUCUGACAACUGAUUCAAAACAAAAACAAAAAAGCAGAAGCUUCUUGGACCCCAUCCUGGUAAGUUCGAUCAUCAUUAGCAACUCACUUGUUGCUACAUUGCCUUCAUGAUUAUCAUUUUUAAUGACUAUACAUUAUUUUGUUGAAUAACAGAAUUUAUCUAAACAUCUCCUCUAUGUGGGCUCUUUAAGUAGUUCCAAUUUUAUGCUACUGUGAAAAUUGCCGCAAUUAACAUCUUUGUCAACAUAACUUUUUGCUUCGGUUGGAUAAUUUCCUCAGGAAGCGAGGUAAUUUUGACCGCCUCUUAUGGAAGACUAGAACGAGGUUGUGGCAACAUUUUCUGCAUUAGCAUUUUGCAUCGGCCAAAAAUGGGAAAGAUCAGAACUCACCUUCAGGAGGAAGUGCUUAAACUGUGAGCCAACUGUUCAAUAAGAGGCUGUGCAACCAUUACAAAGAACAAGGAUUAUUCACUAUCGCCAAAAAGUAGAAACCAUCUAAAAUGUCCUUCAUGUGGAAGAUUAUGCUACAAUGGGAUACGAUUCGGCCAUAAAAGCAAUGAAGUUCUGAGACAUGCUAUCACAUGGAUGAACCUUGGAAACAUUAUGCCGAGUGAAAGAAGUCAGACGCAGGGGGCCUCGUAGAAUAUGAUUCCGUUUAUAGGAAAUGUCUAGAAUAGGUAAAUCCAUGGAGACAGAAAAAAAGAUAAGUAGUUACCAGGGGUUGGGGAGGGAAUGGGAAAUGAUUGCUAACAGGUAUGAGGUUUCUUUGGGGGAUGAUGAAAUUAUUCUGGAAUAGAUAGCAGUGAUGGGUACACAACCUUGUGAAUAUACAAAACCCACUGAACUGUGCACUUUAAGAGAAUGAACUUGGGGUGCCUGGGUGGCUCAAUCAGUUAAGCAUCUGACUUUGGCUCAGGUCAUGAUCUCACGGC